GGGCCGUUAGCUCAGUCGGUAGAGCAUCUGACUUUUAAUCAGGUGGUCGAAGGUUCGAAUCCUUCACGGCCCACCA
rnacentral:tRNA from 1 species